GCCACCGUGAGGUGGAAUCUGAAGGAAGCCGCAGGCAAAGCGCUGGUUCGACGAACAGGAAGUGCAUAUGAGGCGGCCAUGCUGGGUGAGGAGGCAAAUAUCUUCAAAGCCCAAAUCUGACACGGAAAGCAUGGUCGUAGAUGCGACGGAUAUAAGCGUGAAAGUGAGUGUG
rfam:Marine metagenome ctg_1101668584655, whole genome shotgun sequence.